CAGAAGUGGAAGUGACAAAAUGAUGAAGAAAAAGCUAUUCUCAUAUUUCCAGCCUAAUGGGAAGCAGGAAGUGUCAGAAAUCUCACGAGAAAACAGUUUCAUGAGAUUUCAGGAAGUGCAGAUGGUUCAGAGAGGCAUCCAAAUGUGUAACAACUCACGUGGCUUCUAGUUGUAGAAAAAUCUACAGAUUUGUAACCAACAAUAAAUGAAAAUCCAGAAGGCUUCUCAGCACGUCAUCCAGAUGGCUUUUGAAACUUCCUCGCCCACCUUAAGAGGCUACACAUGAGAAAACCGAAAAACCAAGGACUCCAGAGAACCCUGAAAGCUGUAGAUUCAUGCCAAAGUAAAGAUCACCUC